UGGGGAAUAUUGGACAAUGGGCGCAAGCCUGAUCCAGCCAUGCCGCGUGUGUGAAGAAGGCCUUUUGGUUGUAAAGCACUUUAAGCGAGGAGGAGGCUACUUGGAUUAAUACUCUAGGAUAGUGGACGUUACUCGCAGAAUAAGCACCGGCUAACUCUGUGCCAGCAGCCGCGGUAAUACAGAGGGUGCGAGCGUUAAUCGGAUUUACUGGGCGUAAAGCGUGCGUAGGCGGCUUUUUAAGUCGGAUGUGAAAUCCCUGAGCUUAACUUAGGAAUUGCAUUCGAUACUGGGAAGCUAGAGUAUGGGAGAGGAUGGUAGAAUUCCAGGUGUAGCGGUGAAAUGCGUAGAGAUCUGGAGGAAUACCGAUGGCGAAGGCAGCCAUCCGGCCUAAUACUGACGCUGAGGUACGAAAGCAUGGGGAGCAAACAGG
rnacentral:rRNA from 1 species